GGAAGACAGACAAAGUCAUCAUUCUGUUAUGACACCAUGGAUGAAAGCCCUCUACAUUAAGCAAGAGGAACCGUUAAAAAAAGCCCCAGAGAAUAAAAUGUACGUGGCCAAAACAGUGGUGGGUGCAGGAGGAGUCCAGCACAGCUGGCUUCUUUUUAGUGCUUCUGGAUUCUUCUGUCCACAUCUGUGGAGCUCAGGCUGGUUCUGGGGACACAGGGUGACCUUGAGGCUACGGAUUCUUCCUGCAGAAGCUUCAGGAAGACUGGUCCAGCUCCAGGCUAGCCAGGGCUGAGGAUGGAUAAACGCCUCACUAAGCACUGGUUUUCAUUCUGUAUUUAUUGAAAAGGAAAACCAGCACUCCGGGAAUGACUUCCAGAAAAAAACCCACUAGUCUUUUUCCAGCCAGAUUCAUCCCACAUCCACCUAGGACCCUCCUGCUUCACACACAGCUUUACAAACACUGAAGAAAAGUACAGCGUCUCUUAGCAAAUUGGCAGACUGGGAGGAAGGCGCUGAGAGCUGGGGCACUGGUACACUGGUGGUGGUGGUGGUCAUGCUUACUAUGUCACGGAAAUGAAAGCUACAUGGCCCUCAAGAAGUCAUUAGCCUCUAGUAAACUCAUAGCCUCUGGCUAUCUCUGAAUCUUCACCUUUCCUACCCUCCCAGUUCCGAAGUAUGAGAGGACAGGAGAGAGAGAGAAAGAGCCCAUGGAGUAGGAAUUUCCACUGCGGGGAUCGCUUAUUCAAAACUUGCCUUGUACAGCAAUACAUAUCCUCUCCUUGCUGAGCAGGCCAGAACCAUGCCAGGUAUAUCAGACAUGCAGCUAAGCCCCACACCGAAAGAAAGAGGCACCACAUUAGAAAUGAGGGCACCAAGGCCUAGCAGGGGCCACGUAACUUGCAAUACAAGAUCGUAUUUCUAGUAACUGACGGAGUGAACAUUUGAAUCCAAGCCUGCUUGAUGCUAGGGUUGGCGUUCUUAACCACCACCCUGGGUCACAUCCCUCAAGACACUGGCUGGACUUCCAAUUUCCUCGGGAAAACCAGGACCCGUGGGAUUUAUGCUAGUGCGUGUGGUUGAGGACGUUUCACCCUGACGAUGUGGGCACAAAACUGAAAGUACUUGUCUGCGUCCUGAUGGGCUCUUCUCCCCCUGCUGCCUUCUGGGCAGUUUAGCAAGGCUGAUGAGGCUCUGCUGUCCCUAUCACUUAGUUUUUAGAGCAGUUUGCCUGUCGAGUGGACAGGACUCCAGGGGUCCAGGAAGGUCUGUGAUAACAGGUCUGCUGAGGAAAUGCAAAUCCUCUGAGCGGCCAGCUCAGCCAGGGCCAAGUCAGUACUGCCUCGCUUUAAUUGAGGCUGUCCGCAGGGAAGCCCUGGGUCGAGGCUCUAAUGUCCUGAUAGUCUGUAAGCUUCUCUUCUUGUUAGCUGCGGGGGACACACAGGGACACAGUGUGAAGCUUUGCUCAUCGCCUCUUCCAGAAAUCAGUUAAACUCUCCUACCAGGCUCCUCAUGGGGUUUUGUAAACCCCAGUGAGAGAUGUAUCCCCAAUUUAAGGACGUUUUAAAUAUCCGGCUGUCCGUGAGCAGGAGUGGUGUUGACUCGCCCACUCUCCCGGGCUGAUCCAUCUUUGGAGACACUGCUGCUUUAGCUGAGAGGAGCCUCUGAGCAACAGAGAGGACUUGGCCAGUGGGAAUUGUCCUCCGAAGUGCCUCUCACUCAGUGAAAUAGAUCCUGAAGCUCGGAAGGCACCUGAGAAGUGUCAGACGCACCCACUUGGUCUUCAACUCCAUUAGAGGCUCUGAGCAGAGAUACCAGAACAAGAGCUUAUAACGUUAAUCAAGUGAGAAGUUGGGUCACAUCCACUCUAGAAACGGUUGCAAAUCCCGGGAAGAGACCCUUUUUAAGGACCUGGUUGGUGACUCCCAGCUUUCCACUGAAAUCCCUAUCAGCACCGGAGGAGCUGACGCCAGGCUGUAGCUGCCCACCUCACGCUGAAUUUUUCAGAAUCCCCUGCAGCUGUGGCGUGGCCUCAGGAGGACGUCUCACCAGGGGAGUGUGAGCAGAAGGCAUGUGAACAGCCUGCUUUAGAGAGAAUGUCUGGCCUCAGACCUCGGCCUGGCCUCUUUCUGUGGGCUGGGUGCUUUGGCAGUCACACGCUGAAGACAGCGGAGGACUCUCGGAGAGCCUGUGUAGAGAAGAGCUGCCUGCGGCUCUAUUACGUGCAAUCAGGACUGUCACAUGUGAAACAUAAAUUUCUACCUUGGCAGAGCCAUUGUAUUUUUGGUUCUUUAUUACAGCAGCUAACAUUACCCUAAUGUACACACUUUUUUUCUUUUUGUGCUGGAAAUCAAACCCAGGGCCUUGUGCACGGUAGGCAAACGGUUUACCACUGUGCUGUAUUUUUAUGCACGUGGAUGCAUGUUACUUUUUUGU